GGGCUGCAGUAUAUUGACUGUACAAAGGUAGCAUAAUCAUUAGUCAUUUAAUUGAUGACUUGUAUGAAAGAUUGGAUGAAAUAUAAACUGUCUCUUUAUUAUUUAUAGAAUUUAAUUUUUUAAUUAAAAAGUUAAAAUAAUUUAAAAAGACGAGAAGACCCUAUAGAGUUUUAUAUUUAAAUUAAUUAAGAUUAUUUAUAAAAUUUUUAAUUAAAUUAUUUUUAAUUAUUUUGUUGGGGUGACAAAAAAAUAAAAAUAACUUUUUUUAAAUUUUAACAUAUAUAAUUGAUUUUAUGAUCCAUUUUUAAUGAUUAUAAGAAAAAAUUACCUUAGGGAUAACAGCGUAAUUUUUUUUUUUAGUUCGAAUAAAAAAAAGAGUUUGCGACCUCGAUGUUGGAUUAAGAUAAAAUUUAAAUG
rnacentral:rRNA from 1 species